rnacentral:rRNA from 1 species
CACGUAGGGGGCGAGCGUUGUCCGGAAUCAUUGGGCGUAAAGAGCUCGUAGGCGGCUCAGUAAGUCGGGUGUGAAACCCUCAGGCUCAACCUGGGGACGCCACCCGAUACUGCUGUGGCUAGAGUCCAGUAGGGGAGUGUGGAAUUCCCGGUGUAGCGGUGAAAUGCGCAGAUAUCGGGAGGAACACCAGCGGCGAAGGCGGCACUCUGGGCUGGAACUGACGCUGAGGCACGAAGGUCAGGGGAGCAAACGGG